CAGGGUGCUGCUGACCAUUGUAACCUCCUUAAAAUUGUAUGGCAACAGAUGGGAUUCCAGCUUUUACUCUCCUGCUUGAGAAUGCCAAGCACUUUGAUUUCCCAUGAGAUGCUUUUGGAAACUACUUUAUUAUCCAGAUCUUGUAAUCUGUAAUUUUCUACGUUCUUAGGUCCUGCUCAAAAAAGGUUUCAACUGCUUAACCAAGUACAGCUCAUUCUUCCACCUUCUUACUCUGCAACCAGAUCAAGGGCCCCACACUGCAGCAUAUAAAAUGAUCAAAUCCUGAGAGAGAAAAGAAGCAAAGUAGCAAAUACAUCAGCAACAAUUCACUACCAGGAACACAGAAAAUCCCAGAGGGAGAAAGCAGUGUCUCUGAAUCAUGGAUGGGCUUGGAAAGUUCGGAAAGAUUCGAGUGCUUCCCUUCCAGAAAGACAAUUCUGGAUCAACUCCCUAGAGGAGGAAGCCUGUGGUUUGUAAUUGGUGUUCUAGCUCGACUCCCUCCCCUGGGACUGCAAUCACGCUCUCUACCUGCUGACACAAAGUGAGGGUGGAGCAGCUAGAGGCAACCACCCGCUCCUCUCCCCAGCCCGCCCCUCCUCCUGGCUGGCUAAGGCGAGGGCUUGAGUGCACGCACACUUACAGAGCCAGACACGUUCUUUUCCUCUCCGCUCUCUCAGCUCCCCUACUCCCUCUAUUGAGCCACAGUCAAACUGCAUCCAAUUCAAUGCUCAAUCAUUUUCUCUGGGUAAGCAAGCUGUUUGAUACAUGUCAAACAGGUAUCUAGGCAGUAGAACACACCCAAGAGAACAUAAACGGUGGUAUAAUGAAAUAAAGGGAAUGAAAUAAUAAAAACCCAGAACAUGAAAGAGUGGAUUCAAGAUUUUGCAAAUAUGAGUUCAGAGGGAUUUCUGCUCUUUUUGGAUUUUAGCGUCUAUGAAUGGCACAAAGCUAGAAUAAAGUGAUCCAGUGCUAUAGUACUUAUUGCUGUCUCAUGUAUGCUACCCCGGCAAGAACCCUGUCCAUUUUGUACAUAGUUUUUCUUCAGCUUUUACUUAUUU